rnacentral:rRNA from 1 species
CAGCAGCCGCGGGAAUACGGAGGAUCCAAGCGUUAUCCGGAAUCAUUGGGUUUAAAGGGUCCGUAGGCGGUCUUGUAAGUCAGUGGUGAAAGCCCAUCGCUCAACGGUGGAACGGCCAUUGAUACUGCAGGACUUGAAUUAUUGGGAAGUAACUAGAAUAUGUAGUGUAGCGGUGAGAUGCUUAGAGAUUACAUGGAAUACCAAUUGCGAAGGCAGGUUACUACCAAUUGAUUGACGCUGAUGGACGAAAGCGUGGGUAGCGAACAGGAUUAGAUACCCCUGUAGUCCCUGUCUCUUAUAC